GCUCUCUCCCUCUAUGACCCUUAAAGGGGUGAUAGAAUGCAAAACCGAUUUUACUUUGUCAUAGUUGAAUAACGACAGUCUGGUGGUAAAUACGACAUACAUAUAAACUCAAAAACCCAUCGACACAUCUUUCCUCUGAAACUACCUCU